GGGGCUGUAGCUCAGUUGGGAGAGCGCAUGACUGGCAGUCAUGAGGUCAGCGGUUCGAUCCCGCUCAGCUCCA
rnacentral:tRNA from 1 species